CUUCGGGCCUUGCGCUAUCAGAUGAGCCUAGGUCGGAUUAGCUAGUUGGUGGGGUAAUGGCUCACCAAGGCGACGAUCCGUAACUGGUCUGAGAGGAUGAUCAGUCACACUGGAACUGAGACACGGUCCAGACUCCUACGGGAGGCAGCAGUGGGGAAUAUUGGACAAUGGGCGAAAGCCUGAUCCAGCCAUGCCGCGUGUGUGAAGAAGGUCUUCGGAUUGUANNNCAGGGGUAAGUUGGGAGGAAGGGCAGUAAAUUAAUACUUUGCUGUUUGACGUACCGACAGAU
rnacentral:rRNA from 1 species